AUACGAAGGGUGCAAGCGUUGUUCGGAAUCACUGGGCGUAAAGGGCGCGCAGGCGGUUUGGUAAGUCAGAUGUGAAAGCCCACGGCUCAACCGUGGAAGUGCAUUUGAAACUGCCAGACUUGAGUACCAGAGGGGAAAGUGGAAUUCCCGGUGUAGAGGUGAAAUUCGUAGAUAUCGGGAGGAAUACCGGUGGCGAAGGCGACUUUCUGGCUGGAUACUGACGCUGAGGCGCGAAAGCGUGGGGAGCAAACAGGAUUAGAAACCCUAGUAGUCC
rnacentral:rRNA from 1 species